CCUACGGGAGGCAGCAGUGAGGAAUAUUGGUCAAUGGUCGGGAGACUGAACCAGCCAAGCCGCGUGAGGGAUGAAGGUCCUGAGGGUCGUAAACCUCUUUUGUCAGGGAACAAAGCCCGGGACGUGUCCCCGGAUGAGUGUACCUGAAGAAAAAGCAUCGGCUAACUCCGUGCCAGCAGCCGCGGUAAUACGGAGGAUGCGAGCGUUAUCCGGAUUUAUUGGGUUUAAAGGGUGCGCAGGCGGUCUGUUAAGUCAGCGGUCAAAGUGCGGGGCUCAACCCCGGCGCGCCGUUGAAACUGGCAGUCUCGAGUUGGAGAGAAGUAUGCGGAAUGCGCGGUGUAGCGGUGAAAUGCAUAGAUAUCGCGCAGAACUCCGAUUGCGAAGGCAGCAUGCCGGCUCCACACUGACGCUGAGGCACGAAAGCGUGGGUAUCGAACAGGAUUAGAUACCCGAGUAGUC
rnacentral:rRNA from 1 species